AGAAAUUGGUUUUUAGAAGCCACGGCCUUGGUGUUGUAUAAUUUUCUUAGUAUUUUGAAUUUUUCUAUUGUGUAACAACCUAUAAUCUUGAUUUUGGAUUUACUAGAUUUUUUUUCUCGAAGGAAAUCAAAUUAAAGUGUCUGUUAUAAAUUUAUGAAUGGAACUAGUUUCUUAAAGCUAAAUAAGUAGUAAAUAUUUGUUAUGUAUUUGAACUAUGUUCUUAAAUAGAUAUAUGGUGAAGUACUCUACAUGGUUUAUUCAUAUCGAAUUAUAUAUAUAGGAGCAUUUGUCUAAAUAAAAUAAAUAAAUAAAAUUAUGUGUUGCAUUCAUGCUCGAGAUUUUGAUUUGUACAUUUAAUUUGAAGCUAAAACUUGAACUCGAAUUGAAAUUUAGAAUAUGUGAAUCAAACUAGAAAACUAAAAUAGAAAAUGAAAAUGAAAAGAAAAAGGAACAAACGUUAUUUGGGCCUAAUCCCACAAUUCUGGCCCAAAUUCGCCCACGAUCAAACCCAAUCUGCGUGCCUGUGCUGCGCCUGGGCGCCGACAGGUGGGCCCUUUUGGGCAGUCUCUGAUGGCGCACGGUCUCACUGCCCGCGGGUCCCAUUGUCAUCCAGCCAAUCUCACCCACUGCCUGUCCCCUCUGCCGUGUGGACCCAACCUGUCAUAUCUCCCUUCCCCUCCCCAGGAACAAAUCCACCGAAGUCUUCGUGUGGCUGUUGCGCCGCCGCGUUCCCUCCCGCGCGGGCAGCCUCAGCCACACUCAUCUGCGCGCCAACCGCUCCUUGCGCCGCGCGAUUCCUGGGAGCUUGGCGCCCGUACCGCUCGUCCGUAUGUCAUGUGGGCCCCAGAUGACAGUCAUUUCUUCCCCAACGAAUCAUCCCAACGGACGCAAUCCCGCCAGCCUCGGUCGCCGCAAAUUCCGGGUUCCUCAGCCAUGGAUUCUGCUGGUUGAGGUCCCGAGCACCCUCCUGGUGAUCCGGUGGUGAUCUUGGGACUCUUGUGAACAACCGAGCGAUUGCGCGGAACAAAAUAGCGGUGGCGGCGGAUUCCUCUCCCAUGCCGUUGCCGCGCCACUCCUCCACGGAAAUCGGGCGGGCGUAACAACUUUCCUCCCCUUCGGAAUCCGCUUUCCUCGGCUUCGGGGUAUAAAUCCGGGACACCUCGCUCGCCCAUCAGCCACCAAACACCGUGAAGCCCUCACCAUGGUAGCACCCGAGGGACAGAGAGAUGAGAGAGGUACCGCCGUGGUGGAUUUGAAGCCUACGGCGAUGUCGAGUAGUCAGAACCGGGCCGGGAGCUUCUCCGGGGCGCUUGAGUACUUGGGCGACCACCAAUUUGGCGUGGGUGGCCACAAGCUUUCGGUGAAUUGCUCGCCAACGCCUGCUAGCACUGCAAUGCCGCCCUCCGCCGUGGAUAGAACUUCUGCUCACGUAACGCGUGGUAAGUGCCAUCUCAUCCCGUGCGCCAUCAUUUCCUCUGCGCGUAGAUCGCUUCCGGUGGGCCUUGGAGCUCUGGCGCGCCGGUUGCAAGUGCUCCGGCGAGGUCCACCGCCGCGCAGAGAGCUCUGCUCGCCGUAGCUCACCGACGGGAAGGAGACAGACUUAUGGUCGUAGGAUCUAUCGAGGGGCGUUCUAGAUUGAUUGUGGCUAGAUCGAUCCGGACUAUUGAAGCGUCAACGCACGGAUAGGAUUAGGGCGCGCAUACCCCUUCGCGCGAUCGGAUCUGGACCUCUAGAUUUUGAUCGGAUGGCUUAGAAUAGAACGGGUGUUCGGUCGAGGCAAGCUUAUAAAAGAGUCCCUGUGAUUUUCAAUUAUUGAUCCCGCCAUCCCUGCACAGUUUAGAACAGUUACAGAUAAGUCCCUGUGAAUUACAAUCAUACCCCUGGAGCCCUAUUUAAGUGCAGAAUAAAUAUUAAAAAUAACCUAAAACUUGUUUAACCCAUAACUUUUACGUCUUAACUCCGAAUUGACUCGUUCCAGUUGCGUUAGCUUCGUAUAAACAUUUACUUCGCAGUAACAACAUUAAUUUUACCACGUCGCAUGCUUUUAUUGUUAGAUAAUUAUUAUUCCUAUGUCUACUAGAUCAACCCUUCUAGAAGCAAAGCUAACCGGUCCAUGAUUAUAAUUUGAUUAGAAUAUAGUCUCUAGUCAUGUUAUAAUUAAAAUUAAAGUUGAGUUAAUUACUUAUAGAAUACUCUCUCAUAUGAUGUAUACUAACCAAUUUGUAAUAUAGUUUAAUAUUUAAAUCACGUGGAUCUUCGGAAAACCAUAACUUCAUAACCGUAAACCCGAAUCUAGCAAUUCUCGUUCCCACGAUCUUGUAGCAAUGCGUAGAUUAUUAUCAUACAGUUUAUCCUUAUGUUUGGUGUGAUGUUAAUUUUGCCUAUACCAUGUCUGUUUGUAUUGCUACGACUAGCAGUGAGGUUACGAGGAUCUGAAGUUCAUCCUAUCACCUGAAAUCUCAAGUGCCAGGCAAGUUGUGCCCUUGAUCACUUCUUUUUACCCAGCCAUGUUCUGAUUAAUCAUAAUGAUCUGCAUAGGUUAAUUUUGAUGGGACCCAAUAGGUUACCCUAGUUUGAUUAUCUUUAUACCUUGUUACCACUGAACUUUUUGGGUAGUACUUGCUAGUGCUUUAUGUGGUUUUGGGUAUGAAGAUACAUUACUCAUGAUUAUACUUUUGUUAUCCGUUGUUAUUUAUCGUUCAUGAUAAGAUCAUUAUGUUAAUUGGAACAUGGAGCGACCACCCGGGAAAACAGUGCUACCACAAGGGUAUAAUGGGACGCCCUUGGCUGAUUAAUUAGGAAAGCUAGUGGAGGACUACCUUACCCGAAAGGGGCAAGGGCAGUAGGGGAGUGGUCAGUGUAGGGAGGCCCUCGGGAUGAUUUUGCUGCGAUGGCGGUCAUGCAAGGGAUUCCUGCAUUGGAGCUUCCUAUAAACUGUAGCGGGUUUUCUGAAGCUAGUGGAACUUUGUAAAGGCCUCGUAGUGUUACCCUGCCUCGCCUCCUCGGUAGAGGUGUAUGGGAAGUCGCGAUCCCUUGGCAGAUGGGUAACAUGACUUGUGGAUAAAGAUGUGCAACCUCUGCAGAGUGUAAAACUGGUAUACUAGCCGUGCUCACGGUCAUGAGCAGCUCGGACCCUCACAUGAUUAACUUAUGGAACUAAAUUCAAUUUGUCAUAUGCAUUGCAUCGCAGGUGAUGUUGUUACUUUUGUUCUACUACUUAAUUGGGUUGGUAUUUACUUAUACUUAGUAAUUGCUAAUAAAAUUUUGACCAACUUUAAAAGCAAUGCUCAGCUCUAACCAUCCUCUUUGGUAAGCCUUACACUUCACGUGAGCUCCCACCUUUGGUGAGUUCAUGCACAUUAUUCCCCACAACUUAUUGAGCGAUGAACGUAUGUGAGCUCACUCUUGCUGUCUCACACCCCCCACAGGUCAAGAACAGGUACCACAGGAUGAGGCGCUUGGAGGAUGCUGCGAUGUGUUCGUGAGAGGUCUAGGUCGUCGUCUCCGAGUCAACUUUGGGUUGCUGGACCGUUGUCUCCUUAUAAUGUAAAUAUUUAUUUAUUUUGUACAAAACUCCGAUUAUAUAGUAAAGAUGUGACAUUCGAUCCUGUGCCAUGAUUCAUCAUAUGUGUGAGACUUGGUCCCAGCACACCUGGUGAUUAUGUUCGCGCCCGGGUCUUGGUGCCCCCGAAACCCGGGUGUGACAUAUUGCCUUUUCAUUUUCUGGUUUUCCAAAUUUGUGAAAAUAUAAUGAAGAGAUGUUUUAUGGUUGUUUUAGGUUAGACAGAGAGAAAAGUAUGUUUUACAAGUAAAUAAUUUAUUUUUUUCACAACACAGAGCUAGCUUAUAUUAGAGUAGCUUUCCCGUAGGUCACGGUUAAACCAAACAGGCCCAUUACUGCAACCUAGAGCCUUAAAAAUAUA
rnacentral:lncRNA from 1 species